GAAAUGCGAUAAGUAAUGUGAAUUGCAGAAUUCAGUGAAUCAUCGAAUCUUUGAACGCACAUUGCGCCCGCCAGUAUUCUGGCGGGCAUGCCUGUUCGAGCGUCAUUUCAACCAUCAAGCCCCGCGCUUGUGUUGGGGACCUGCGGCUGCCGCAGGCCCUGAAAACCAGUGGCGGGCUCGCUGUCACACCGAGCGUAUGGGGACUUUUGUCACACGUUUGCGGUGCGGACCGGCGCCUGCUUGACUUUUCUGAUUAUCCAGGUUGACCUCGGAUCAGGUAGGGAUACCCGCUGAACUUAAGC
rnacentral:misc_RNA from 1 species